AUUGAACGCUGGCGGCAUGCUUUACACAUGCAAGUCGAACGGCAGCGCGGGCUUCGGCCUGGCGGCUAGUGGCGAACGGGUGAGUAAUACAUCUGAACGUGCCCAGUAUUGGGGGAUAGCUCCGCGAAAACCGGGUUAAUACCGCAUACGACCUGAGCGUGAAAGCGGGGGAUCUUCGGACCUCGCGCUAUUUUAGCGGCCGAUGGCAGAUUAGAUAGUUUGUGGGGUAAAGGCCUACCAAGGCGACGAUAUGUAGCUGGUCUGAGAGAGCGGCAAGCCGCCCUGGGAGUGGGACAGGGACAAUAGUACUAAGGGACGGAGCAGUCGGCAACGUUGGACAAAGGUCGAAAGCAUGAUACAGCAGGGGCGAGUGUGUGGUGACGGCCUUGGGUGUGUAAAGCACUUUUGGCGGGAGUGAACAGCAUUGUGCCGAUACGAAGGGUAGAUGACGGUACCCGCAGAAGAAGCACCGGCUAACUACGUG
rnacentral:rRNA from 1 species